rnacentral:rRNA from 1 species
GCCAGACUCCUACGGGAGGCAGCAGUGGGGAAUAUUGCACAAUGGGGGAAACCCUGAUGCAGCGACGCCGCGUGAAGGAUGAAGUAUUUCGGUAUGUAAACUUCUAUCAGCAGGGAAGAAAAUGACGGUACCUGACUAAGAAACCCCGGCUAACUACGUGCCAGCAGCCGCGGUAAUACGUAGGGGGCAAGCGUUAUCCGGAUUUACUGGGUGUAAAGGGGGCGCAGACGGCGAUGCAAGCCAGGAGUGAAAGCCCGGGGCCCAACCCCGGGACUGCUCUUGGAACUGCGUGGCUGGAGUGCAGGAGGGGCAGGCGGAAUUCCUGGUGUAGCGGUGAAAUGCGUAGAUAUCAGGAGGAACACCGGUGGCGAAGGCGGCCUGCUGGACUGCAACUGACGUUGAGGCCCGAAAGCGUGGGGAGCAAACAGGAUUAGAUACCCCAGUA